UCCUCUCCGAUUUUUCAAGUCGAUGUCGCGAAUCGCUCCGUAUUUGUAAAACACGUCCUCGACAUCUUUGGUGCGAAUAUCAGGGGGUAGAUUUCCAACGUAAAUACGACAAUCGUUAUUUCCUGCAGGGCCUCGCACGACGCCUCCCGACAUAGUAGCUAACGUUAGCUCGUUUAUUUUAGCGUUACGUUUAAAUAAAAAGCGAGUUCUCAAAACGGUAUUCAAGUAGAUCACAACCGAUUAGAAAACCAUAUGAGUAUAGUGCAUAAACACGAAAUAAGGUAUCAAUCGCGCUUAAAGCUGUCUACUAGCUAGCUACACUUCUCCAGGUGCAGAACCGCGCUUCUUCGCGAGGGCAUUCAUGAAUACCGGAAAUGUGCCCAGUAGAGAACUCUCGAAAUGCCUACCUCCGCCAAACAAAAUAGUCCACAGGGUUCAUCUGUAAAAGAGACCUGGGUGUCAGUAUGCCUCCCUGAUAGAAUAAAUGUUAAAUCAAUAAACACAGGAUGUGGGGUAUUGGUAUAAUUACGCGAAUAAUUUCAGCUAAGAAGGUUUUCAGGUUUUGAGUGCGGAGACCUGAAGGGCUCGGCCGUACGAGAAGGUGAGGGCCCAGGGCUUCACCAGGGAGCAGUUGUUGAUGGCAUUCAGGUGGACAGAGGCCUCCUCUUCACUCUGACCCCCGGAAAGGAACGUUACUCCUGCACAGAAAAUAAAUAGAAAUCGCUUGCAGAGAGAACAUACUGAGCUCCCUACUAACCAACAGACUCAUCAGCAGCCAGGAUGCCCUUCCCUGGAGUGACGAUACGAAGGGCAAUCUCCUGGAGCUCCUGCUUCUGACCACUGGAGAGGGCUGGGAAUUGUACAGCUAAGAGGCACAGUCAGAGCUGAAAUAUACAACUUUCUCAGCCAACAACUCAGUAAUCCAGACAACCUUCGGCAUCUGGUCACUGUUGAGGUGGGCGCUACUGACAAAUAUCCCAGGAGGUACAAGAAAGGUGAGGGAAUUUUGUCAGUCUAAACCAGAGCUUUUUCAGAUAUAUUACCCUGGUUCUGUGUAGCUGUAAUAGCAAUAUCAAAUUGGCAAGUGAAAUAAAAAAUGAUGAUGUAGUAAUACAUGUGGCGGCAGGGUAGCCUAGUGUUUAGAGCGUUGGACU